rnacentral:rRNA from 1 species
CCAAAAACAUAGCUAUUUAAUAUACAUUUAGUGUUACCUGGUCAGUGAUUAUCAAAAUUUUUAAUAAUUAAACACACGCCUUAUAAUGAGGGUGAUAAUGUAGCAUAAUAAUUUGACAUUUAAUUGGUGUAUUGUAUGAAUGGUAUUAUGAUUCUUUUAUUGUCUCAAAAUUAUAGUUUAAUAAAUUAAAAUAACUAUAAAAAUAUAGUUUUAAGAAUAUAAGACGAAAAGACCCCAUAAACCUUUACUUAAAUUUGUUUAACUGGGACGGUUAUCUUUUAAAAAAACAAAGAUUUUUUAAAAUUUUCUAAUAAGAAUUUAUUGACCACUUUUUUUAUAAAAAAGUAUAAAAAGAUAAUAGGUACUUUGGGGGUAACAGAGCAAUAUAUCAUUGAAGAUGAUAUUUAAUGUUAUGGUUGCUACCUCGAUG